CGGUGAGCUAUGGAGAUGGUUCAACUUCCAGAGGCUUCCUCAUAAAUUUUUGGAAUUUUUGAGACACAGAUAAACUUCGGGCUACAGGAGGAGACAUUUUUCAGAAUAACCUGUCCCUUUCCUCUCAGGUUAUGAAAAGAUUACUUAAUUGUAUUAUUAUUCUCUAAAUUUGUAAUUUAGGACUCCGCAUGUGCUAGUAGUAGCAUUAAGCCUAUCAGAGACUGUAUGAAUUCAAGUUUUCAUAUUAAUAAAUGAAAAGAAAAAAUUUUUAUGA